ACAAGCUCUAUAACUCAUCACGUGAACCUUUUCAAAUUUCAAACCAUGAGCCCUUUUCAUUUUCGUUCUCUCUCUUCCUCAAAGUGGAUUUGGAUCUGUGGAUUCAAAAGGAAAAAGAAUCAUUUCGUUCUCUCUCUCCCUCAAAGUGGAUUUGGAUCUGUGGAUUCAAAAGGAAAAAGAAUCAGAGAUGUAGAGACGUGUUGUUGAUCUACAAUAUCAGAGUGGAAUCAAAAUCCUCAUCUUCAUCUUCCGACUUGAUACAGAGCCGGUGUGGGAUCUGAGUUUGUUCUUCAUCUAGGGUUUUGAGGGUUUUGAUGAUGAGAGCAAUUGGGCUUUUAGUGGGAUCUGAGUUUGUUCUUCAACAACAAUGGACACCGAUGAGAGAUUAAUGGCUUUGAAGAAGGCGUAUGCGGAUAUUAUUCUGAACAUGGAGAAAGAAGCAGCGAAGAGGAUUAUGGUGUCUGAACGGAAAGUUGUUCGGUUGGAGUACGAGCUUAAAAUUGCUAAAGAAGAUGCGGUUCAGAUGCUUAUGAGGGUUAAACAGAUGAUGGAUUGUAAGGUCUGUAGGGAUAAAAAUAAGCAGCCUCGGAUUUGGAAGGAUGUUAGUCAUGUCAAGGGGUGAGGUACGAAUCGAUAUAGGUUUCUGGAUCCAUCGAUCUAUCGAUCCUGUGUAUCAAUCUAUUUAUCAAGGUAUACUAGGUUGUUGUUAAUAUUGUGAACUUUUAUCCUUCAUCGAGAUCGAAAAAUGCAGCAACAACUACAAUCUCUAAUGGAAACUUUAAGCACAACAGAGCCACAUUAUAUUAGAUGUGUAAAGCCUAAUACUGUUUUGAAGCCGGGAAUAUUCGAAAACGACAUUGUUUUGAAUCAAUUACGAUGUGGAGGUGUGCUAGAGGACAAUUAGGAUUAGUUGUGCCGGAUAUCCAACAAAACGAGCUUUCGAUUAAUUUCUCAAACGGUUUGGAAUGUUGGCUCCAGAUGUUCUAGAUGGGUCUGAUGAGAAGUCAGAAUGUGUAGCGAUUUGUGAUAGAUUUGGACUAAGGAAUAGAGCAUCUCGGUCUGCUUGUGAAGAAGCUCUGCUAGAGGCCAGCUGUCAUGGACGAGGAGGGAAGUUUAUUGAGUUGCUUAUGGCUUCUGACCUGGUCCGGGCCAACAUUGUUGUGCAUGCUCUUGUCACCGCAUGCUGUAGAGGGUUUACAGAUGCGGUCGAUACUCUUUUGAAGGUAUCCAAUAGAUGUUGUAACGUGGGCGUGCCUGGUAAGAAGUCAAAAUCAGCUUAUGUUGAAACAAGCCAUUUGUUAGUAUCAGGCAUUACGGGUCGGGCCGGGUUGACCUGCUAACAUCCUUUUGCCAUCUAAUGAUUUGUAUAUCUAUAUGCAUAGUAUAUUAUAAAACAUACCAGCAUAUCAUUUAUGAAUGUAGGUGCAAUUUGAGACGACAACACAUGAGAUCUAGGAUGACACCAGCAAUAAUGUAGCUAACCAGUUCGUUCCUGUUCUUAGGUCCCACCGGUGUUGGGAAAACGGAGCUUGCUAAGGCUCUUGCAAGAUGAUGAAAAACUCAUGAUUAGGAUUGAUAUGUCUGAAUACAUGGAGGAACACUCUAUUCCUUUUCAGUUAGUCGUUGUCUGCUUUCAUAUGUUAGAUGAAUAGCAUUGAUUAAAAUGUGUGCGUCUAUUGAUUCUUUUUCAGUUAUGUUGGUCAUGAAGAAGGUGGUCAACUUACUGAAGCCGCUGGGGAGAGAGGCAUGAUGGUCAUUCGCAGCAUCAUAGCAACAGUCGAAGACAUGGCAGCCGCCGAUUCACCACCUAGCUCUAGCACCGACGAAUACACCUGCAGCCUUGGCCCUCGAUCUUUCAGAAAAGACUACAGUUCAAGCUCCUCGGGCCUAUAUGGAUUGCUAUGGAGGAUACCUAAGAUAUCAAUGAUGGUGAUGCAAUCUCUGUAAAGUUCUUGGAAAGAGCCAUUUGGACAUCAUACAUGGGGAUUGCGUCUCAUAACCGAAUCGUACUCUCAAGCAUUUGAAAGUGAAAAUAAUUGAAUGGAUAAGGAACUCGAACCUGAAUUUAUCAUGUUCCAUCUUAAAUCGUUAAGCUUGCUUUUUUUCUUUUCAAAUAAAAGGGCAUAACUUUCAGGUUCUGUUUGAUGCUUUGACCGUGUGCUUGCGAGCGUCCUAAGCUACGAGGAUCGAGUGGAGAUCGUCAAAAUCGAGUA